GACGAACGCUGGCGGCGUGCCUAAUACAUGCAAGUUGAGCGCUGAAGGUUGGUACUUGUACCAACUGGAUGAGCAGCGAACGGGUGAGUAACGCGUGGGGAAUCUGCCUUUGAGCGGGGGACAACAUUUGGAAACGAAUGCUAAUACCGCAUAAAAACUUUAAACACAAGUUUUAAGUUUGAAAGAUGCAAUUGCAUCACUCAAAGAUGAUCCCGCGUUGUAUUAGCUAGUUGGUGAGGUAAAGGCUCACCAAGGCGAUGAUACAUAGCCGACCUGAGAGGGUGAUCGGCCACAUUGGGACUGAGACACGGCCCAAACUCCUACGGGAGGCAGCAGUAGGGAAUCUCCGGCAAUGGACGAAAGUCUGACCGAGCAACGCCGCGUGAGUGAAGAAGGUUUUCGGAUCGUAAAACUCUGUUGGUAGAGAAGAACGUUGGUGAGAGUGGAAAGCUCAUCAAGUGACGGUAACUACCCAGAAAGGGACGGCUAACUACGUG
rnacentral:rRNA from 1 species